GAAAUGCGAUAAGUAAUGUGAAUUGCAGAAUUCAGUGAAUCAUCGAAUCUUUGAACGCACAUUGCACCUUCUGGCAUUCCGGGAGGUAUGCCUGUCCGAGCGUCAUUU
rnacentral:rRNA from 1 species